AGCCAUGGGCCCUGGUGCUACACGAUGGACCCAAGGACCCCAUUCGACUACUGUGCCCUGCGACGCUGCGCUGAUGACCAGCCGCCAUCAAUCCUGGACCCCCCCAGACCAGGUGCAGUUUGAGAAGUGUGGCAAGAGGGUGGAUCGGCUGGAUCAGCGUCGUUCCAAGCUGCGCGUGGCUGGGGGCCAUCCGGGCAACUCACCCUGGACAGUCAGCUUGCGGAAUCGGCAGGGCCAGCAUUUCUGCGCGGGGUCUCUAGUAAAGGAGCAGUGGAUACUGACUGCCCGGCAGUGCUUCUCCUCCUGCCAUAUGCCUCUCACGGGCUAUGAGGUAUGGUUGGGCACCCUGUUCCAGAACCCACAACAUGGAGAGCCAGGCCUACAGCGGGUCCCAGUAGCCAAGAUGCUGUGUGGGCCCUCAGGCUCCCAGCUUGUCCUGCUCAAGCUGGAGAGAUCUGUGACCCUGAACCAGCGUGUGGCCCUGAUCUGCCUGCCGCCUGAAUGGUAUGUGGUGCCUCCAGGGACCAAGUGUGAGAUUGCAGGCUGGGGUGAGACCAAAGGUACGGGUAAUGACACAGUCCUAAAUGUGGCCUUGCUGAACGUCAUCUCCAACCAGGAGUGUAACAUCAAGCACCGAGGACAUGUGCGGGAGAGCGAGAUGUGCACUGAGGGACUGUUGGCCCCUGUGGGGGCCUGUGAGGGUGACUACGGGGGCCCACUUGCCUGCUUUACCCACAACUGCUGGGUCCUGAAAGGAAUUAGAAUCCCCAACCGAGUAUGCACAAGGUCGCGCUGGCCAGCCGUCUUCACGCGUGUCUCUGUGUUUGUGGACUGGAUUCACAAGGUCAUGAGACUGGGUUAGGCCCAGCCUUGACGCCAUAUGCUUUGGGGAGGACAAAACUUGUAAGUACAGUCAAGGACAAGACUUGUACUCAAGGUUGAGAUUUAAUAAAAUUAAUAUUUUUACUACUUCACCAAGGACUUUCUUAAACGAAAAUGGUUUUUCCCCCUGCAAGUAAACAGUAAUGAAGAAGAGAAUUAUUCCUAGUGCAGUUUGUUUUCAUGGUCUUAAUUUUUGCUAAGACUCCACUGUUUUUGCCUUAUCAAUACAAGUGCCAACACAGUGAAAAGGCAAAUAUCAUCUUAGUAUUACUCUGAAAAUAGUUCUGAGCUAAUGGCCUACUGAAAGGAAAAGAGUGGCUCCUGCUAUUCUAUUAGACUUAUUACAAUUAUCUUAAGUAUUCUUUCUACCCUCCUUUAAUUGAAUGGAAACAGGGAUGGAUUGGAAGAGCUGUUUUUCUCCUUUCUUUCCCCCGGCAAUAUUUACCAUUUAAUGCCACUUACUAACACUCAAAGAAACAAAACCAAACUUCUCAAUUGACAGUGCAGUGACCCAACAAAGACACGGGUUCUUGAAUUCAAAGUGGAGCAGGAGAGACGGUAAAUACACAUUUACUUUAAUAUAUAUAUAUUUAUUAUUUAUGUGUUUAAAGCACAAAUUAGUUUGGUAAAAAACAUCUCAUGUCUGUUUUAUUUCCACAUCCCUGAGACUGACAAUGGGAUGCCUAUCAAUUAAUUCAUUUAGAGAGCCAUACACCACAAGAAACAAAUUAUUUGUCCUCUGGAGCUUGUCACAGGGGGAUUUUUAAAAAACCAUUAAACAGAAAGACAACUGUGCAUCUUAGAAAGAUAAAAGGCCAAUUCUUCCUCUCCGGCUGAUAGGUUCUUAAUAAUAGUGAUAUCUACUAAUAAGGUGUUUUACAUAGUGUAAAGCAUGUUCACAUACAAAUUACUUAGCCUCUUUGAGCCUCAGUUUUCUUAUAUGUAAAACUGGAUUAAUAGUACAUUUUGUGUUUAAAAAGAUAAUGUAUAUGAAGUGUUUACCAUUUUUGCUUGGCAUCUAGUUCAGUUCUCAGUAACUGAUGUGGUGGUGGUGGUGGUCAUAGUAGCAGUAAGAUCCGUAGUAAUAGUAGCAGCAGUUGUUUUAGAAAUUAGUAACUGAGGCCUGGCAAAGUUAAAGGCUCUUUCAUUAACACCCAGAGGGGAAGAAAUGAAGCUGGUCUUCAGAGGCAGGCUAUUUUCACUCUGUGUCCCAAAUUUUCCCCCCUAGACCGUUUUUAUACUUCUGGGGCCUCAGAAAAUAUUCUCAGCUAUUCUGUUAGCUUGAUCUCCUACCAUCUGAGAGUGGGCUUCCUUCAAACAACCAAAUUUCCAGGUAUUUCUAAACUGCCCUUCCCCUACACCAUUCUUUGGUUCAGUAUUUCAAGACCCCUAAGAGAAAUGGUACAUUUACAUGUAAGCACAGGAUAGUGAAGUAUUUACAACAAGUGCUUUGGAGCCAGCAAAUAUGAAUCAGAAUCCAGCUUUCCUUUCCUACAUACAUGACAUUGGGCAGCUAAUUUCUAAGAUUUUACUUCUUUAUCUAUGAAAGUGGAGUACUAGUACUUGCUCUGUGCAACUGUGAUGGUUGUUACAUGAGGUAGCAUCUAGAAGCAGCUUGCACAUUGCCAGACACCCAGUGGAAGGUCAAUGAAUGACUAUUUGAGGACUAACUAUUACAGAAAUGUUUACUCUUCUGAGUCCUGAUUUCUAGUCUCCUGGACUAAAUAGGUUCACUGUUUUCCUCCCGGUUCAGUUUCCAGACACAUCACAGAAUUAUAAGAAUAUUAAAAACUCAGGCUUAUACCUACACAGGAUUUUCUAUAACCCUCUUUCUGCUUUGAGCUCCUAAAGGUAUUUCAUAGAAAAAUGACCUUAUUUUUAAAUAGAGGGGGCAGUUGAAAAUCAGUGAACGGGCCUACCCCCUAAUGAUUUUUUUCUCAGACCUAAUUAUAAUAAUUAGCAUUAUAAAGUGCUAAUUAUCUUUGGACACAGAGGACCUGCACACCAGAGACAGAGGUCCGCAUUAAGUAAAGUGGAUUUCACUUUCUUCAGUUGUGAGAUUUCUCUUUUUUCUUCUUUGUAAUGAUGCAAAGAUAUAUCUUCCACCAAGCCUCAUUUAAAAGCUUUUUCCAGUUAAGGAAACUAUCUCUUGGCCAUCCACAGCCAGACUGCAUAUUGAGAUUAUGGAUAUUCAAAGAAAUUGUCUUUCCUUUGUAUAUUGUCAUAACUUUUUGUGAAAUGUUCGUUUUAUAGUUCCAGGCCAGCACCUAGAACCUGGCUAGAAUAAAAAACUGCAGAAAUC
ensembl:lncRNA novel transcript